UUUUUUUUUUUAUGUUUUCCUUUGCUGUGCAAAAUCUUGUAAGUUUGAUUAGGUCCCAUUGGUUUAAUUUUUGUUUAAUUUCUAUUGCUUUUGGAGACUGACCUAAGAAAACAUUUGUGUGGUUGAUGUCAGAGAAUGUUUUGCUCCCAGCCAAUGUAAUACUCCAUAGAGAAAAGCUGCACCCCUUCCCACUAAAAUCUGGAAUAAGACAAGGAUGCCCACUCUCACCCACUUUUAUUCAACAUAUAUUGGAAGUCCUGACCAUAGCAAUCAGACAAACAAAAGAAAUAAAAGUUCCAGUUUGAAAGAGAAGAGGUAAAAUUGUCACUCUAUGCAGAUGACAUGAUAUUAUAUAUAGAAAACCCUAAGGGCUCCACACAAAAAUUACUCGAACCAAUCAAUGAAUUCAGUAAAAUAGCAGGAUACAAAAUUAACAUUCAGAAAUCAGUUUCAUUUCUGUAUACUAACAAUGAAAUAUUAGAAAAAAUAUAAAAAUAUAAUUCCUUUUAAAAUUGCACCACAAAAAAUUAAAAACAUAAGAAUAAACCUGGCCAAGGAAGUGAAAGACUUAUGCACUGGGUACUAUAAAACAUUAAUCAAAGAAAUUAAAGAUGAUUCAAAGAAAUGGAAAGAUGUUCCAUGCUCCUGGAUUGGAAGAAUUAAUAUUGUUAAAAUGGCCAUACUACCCAAAGUAAUCUACAGAUUCAAUGCAAUCCCUAUCAAAGUACCCAUGACAUUUUCACAGAACUAGAACAAAUAAUCCAAAAAUUUAUACGGAACCAUAAAAGACCCAGAAUUGCCAAAGUAAUUCUGAGGGGGAAAAACCAACAGAGGCAUAACUCUCCCAGACUUCAGACAAUAUUACAAAGCCACAGUAAUCAAGACAGUGUGGUACUGGUACAAAAACAGACAUACAGACCAAUGGAACAGAAUAAAGAACUGAGAAAUAAACCCAGACUCCUAUGGUCAAUUAUUCUUUGACCAAGGAGGCAAGAUUAUAAAGGAGGAAAAAGACAGUCUCUUCAGCAAGUGGUGCUGAGAAAACUGGACAGCUGUAUGUAAAUCGAUGAAACUAGAACACCCUCAUACCAUGCACAAAAGUAAACUCAAAAUGGCUUAAAGACUUAAACAUAAGACAAGACACCAUAAAACUCCUAGAAGAGAAUAUAGUCUUUUUAUUUUUUAAAUGAUGUUCUUUGAAACACAAAAGUUUUUAAUUUUGAUGAAUUUGAAUGUGUCUAUUUUCUUUUUUCACUUGUGCUUUUGAUCAUAUCUACAAAGACUUUGUCUAACCUAAGGUCACGAAAAUUUAUUCAUAUAUUUUCUUUUUUAAUUAUUGAACUAUAGUCGAUUUACAAUAUUGUGUUAGUUUCAUGUGUGCAGCAAAGUGAUUCAAAUAUAGAUAUGUAUUCUGUAUAUAGAUGUAAUAUAUAAAUAUUCCUUUUCAGAUUAUUUUCAGUUAUAUAUACUCUUAGGAGUUUUGUAGAUUUGCUGUAACAUUUAGGUCUAUAAACGAUUUUGAGUUGAUCUUGGUGGCACGAGGAACUGUUCCAACUUCACUCUUUAGUAUACAAAUAUCCAGUUGUCCCAGAACCAUUUGUAAAAUAUACUAUUCAAACUAUUCUUACCCACAUUGAAUUGUCUCAGCACUUUUGUCAAAAAGCAAUUGAUUAUGUAUGUAAGGAUUUAUUUCUGGACUUUGAAUCCCAUUCCAUUGAUCUAUGAUCCAUGAACAUGAAAUUACUCCUUUUUUUUUUUAGAUCUUCUUUAAUUAAUUGGAAAAAUGUUUUGUAAUUUUCAGAGUAUAAAUUUGCACUUUUUUCCUAAGUAUUCUUUUUGAUGCUACUAUAAAUAGAAUUAUUUUAUUAAUUUCAUUUGCAGAUUGUUCACUGAUAAUUUAUAGAAAGAGUUGAUUUUUGCAUAUUUGAUCUUAUACUUGGCAACCUUGCUGAACUAAUUAUUUUUUUCUAAUAGUUAUUUAGUAAAUUAUUUAGGAUUUUCUAUAUAGAGUAUCAUGUCACCUGCAAAUAGAUAGUUUGAAUUCUUCCAUUCCAAUCUGAAUAUCUCUUUAUUUCUCAUUCUUGCCUAAUUGCCCUGCCUAGAACCUCCAGUACAAGGCUGAAAAGCAGUGUUGAAAGUAGGUAUCUUUGCCUCUUUCCUCGGCUUAGGGGAAGCUUUCAGUCUUAAGCAACUAAAUACGGUCAUCUUUCAGUAUCAUUGAGGGAUUAGUUUCAGUACUCCCCAAAUGCCUCAUAAAUACUAAAACCCAUGAUAUUAAAGUCCCUUGUAGUCAUCCCUCCAUAUCUGUGAAUGUGAACCCAUAUCAUAGGAUGCAAACCUGUACAUUGUUAGCUGUGGGUUUUUCAAACAUCCCUUUAUCACAUUGGAGAAGUUCCCCACUAGUAUGCUGAAGUUUUAAUUAUGAAAGAAUGUUACAUUUUGUCAAAUGCUUUUGGGGUAUCUAUUGGGAUGAUCACAUGGGUUUUGUUCCUUUAAUCUAUGGAUACGUUAUAUUAAUAUUCACCAUGUGAAACUCAUCUUGAAUUUCUGAGAUAAAUCCUACUUAGGCAUGAUGUUUAAUCCUUUUUAAGAGUCAGUGGAUUUGGCUUGCUAAUAUUUUGCUGAGAAUUUUUCUGUCUCUAUAAGACAUAUUGUUCUAUAGUUUUCUUUAUUGUCUGUCUGGUUUUGGUAUUAGGGUAAUAAAAACUUCAUAGAAUGAGUUGAGAAGUGAUCCCUCAUCUAUUUUUAAAAGAGUUUGUGAGUAAUUGGUAUUCUUUUUAAAAUUUGUUAGAAUUCAACAAUAAAACCAUUUGGGUCUGGGCUUCUCUUUGAAAGAAAUUUUAGAAGUGCUAAUACUAUCUCUUGUUAUAGGUCAUUCAGAUUUUGUUUAUCCUUUUGUCAGCUUUGGUAGUUGCAUAUUUUUUAGGAAUUUAUCUAUUUCAUGUAAUUUAUGUAAUUUGUUGGCACACACUUGUUCACAGUAUUUCCUAAUAUUCUUUUUUAAAUUUCACUCCUAUUAAUAGUUAUUUCCCCCUUUUAUGCCUGAUUUUAGUAAUGGGAGCCUUCUUUUUUUUUUUCUCAGACAGUCCAGUUAAAGUUUUGUCAAUUUUGUUGAUCUUUUCAAAGGAACCCCCUUUUGGUUUCAUUUAUUUUCUCUAUUGCUAUUCUAUAUUUUAUAGAUUUCUCCUCUCAUCUUUACAUUUCCUUCCUUCUUCCUGCUUUAGGUUUAUUUUACUCUUCUUUCUUCAUUGUCUCAUGAUGGAAGGUUAAUUUAUUUACUUGAGAACUUUAUUCUUUUAUAACAUGGGUGCAUACAGCUGUAAAUAUCCCUUAAAGCACUACUUUUAGCUGCAUCCUAUAAGUUUUAGCAUAUUGUUCCUUCAUUUUCAUUCAUCUCAAAGUAUUUUCUAAUUUCCCUCAUUGUUCCUUCUUUACUAAAUAUUAUUUAGUAAUAUUUUAAGUUUUGCAUAUGUGUGAAUUUCCCAAAUUUGUUGCCAUUAUCAAUUUCUGGUUUCACUUUAUGUGGUCAGAGAACACUUUUUGCAUGCUGGAUAUAGAUACACACACACGUAUACAUGCUUUUUUUUUAUGGCAUAGUACAUGCUUUGUUAUCCUAGAAAGUAUGCCCAAUGCACUUGAUAAGAAUGUUUAGUCUACUGUUUUAGGGUGAAGCAUUCUAUGAAUGUCUGUGAAGUCUAGUUGGUUUAUAACACUCAAGUCUUCUGUUACUUUGUUGAUCUUCCUAGUUGUUCUAGCAAUUGUUAAAGUGGGAUAUUGAAGUCUGCAUUAUUGUUGGAUUGUCUAUUUCUCUCUUUAAUUCUGUCAGUUUUUGUUUUGUGUAUUUUGGAACUUUUGUUAGAUACAUAUUUUAUAAUUGCCAUUUAUCCAUGGUUGACUGACCCUUUUAUCAUUAGAAAACUUUCCUCUUUAUCUCUCUAUUAACAUUAUUUGCUUUAAAAUCUAUUUUGUCUGAUAGUAGUAUAGCAACUCUAGCUUUCACAGAUAUUGCAUAUUUUACAAACAAGAUUUUUGGCAACCCUGUGUCGAGCAAGUCUAUUGUCACUGUUUUUCCAAGAGGUCCUUACUUUGCAUCUAUGUCAAAUUUUGGUAAUAAUAUUUCAAACUUUUAAAUUAUUAUUAUAUUUGUUAUGGUUAUCUGUAAUUAGUGAUCUUUGAUGUUGCUAUUGCAAUUGUUUUAGGGUUCCACAAACUAUGACCAUAUAAGAUGGCAAAUUUGAUAAACGUGUAUGUUCCAACUGCUCAACUUACAAGCCAUUCCUCACUCUCUCUCUCCCCCAACCUAAGAUAUAACAAUAUCAAAAUUAGGCCAAUUAAUAACCCUACAGUGGCCUCUAAGUAUUCAAGUGAAAAGAAGAGGAGUUCCUAUCGUGGUUC
rnacentral:lncRNA from 1 species